CCUACGGGGGGCUGCAGUGAGGAAUAUUGGUCAAUGGGCGCGAGCCUGAACCAGCCAAGUAGCGUGAAGGAUGACUGCCCUACGGGUUGUAAACUUCUUUUAUAAAGGAAUAAAGUGAGGCACGUGUGCCUUUUUGUAUGUACUUUAUGAAUAAGGAUCGGCUAACUCCGUGCCGGCAGCCGCGGUAAUACGGAGGAUCCGAGCGUUAUCCGGAUUUAUUGGGUUUAAAGGGAGCGUAGAUGGGUUGUUAAGUCAGUUGUGAAAGUUUGCGGCUCAACCGUAAAAUUGCGAUUGAUACUGGCAGCCUUGAGUACAGUUGAGGUAGGCGGAAUUCGUGGUGUAGCGGUGAAAUGCUUAGAUAUCACGAAGAACUCCGAUUGCGAAGGCAGCUUACUAAACUGCCACUGACAUUGAUGCUCGAAGGUGUGGGUAUCGAACAGGAUUAGAUACCCUUGUAGUC
rnacentral:rRNA from 1 species